GCGUACCUCACAACUCAUCUGUUAGAAAAAUGAUUAGGUCCUCAAUGCCUAUUGCAAGUAAAACAACACAACAACACAAUAGUUUUACAUCUGAUUUCUAGCUCCAAAGUUACCAAGUUGCUAGGCAGGAAUGCUUAUUUACUGUGUCAAAAUAGAAAGUAUUCUUUAAAACCUAGAACCAAAGCAAAUAAAGUAUUUGAUGACUAUCCAAAGAAAAACAUUUCCCCAGAAUUUGAAACUAAAGACAAUAAGUGUUUGAUGAAGGAUGACUAUAUCAAAUGUUCCUAGAAAGAGGGGAUUUAGUUCAGUUAAAUCAAGUGAAUUGGUUUGAAACUGCUCUAAGAUUUUAAAAGGAUAAAUAUUUCUAGGUAGCUGACCUUUACUAUUACUGAACUAAAUAAAUUGGUUUUCCGAAAUAUGGCAGAAAUUGAGAAGAGUUGUAAUUUUCUCAUUAAGGAGAUAAUUACCCAAAUAGGAAUGCAAUUACCCAAUGAUGAACAGUUGAAAAAGAUAGAUUCAAUUUUACUAGUGAGAAUUGAAAAGCUGUCAGGGAAAGUUCCAGAGGGAACAAAGGAAGCUCUCACAGUGGUCACAGAUCUCAACUAUUGUUAAUGACAACUAUGAACAUUUUACCUUUAAAAAGAUACCUGCUGAGCCACACAAUGGAGAGAGAUCUGGGAGGAAUUGAUGCUUUCACAUAUUCAGGGCAUUUUAGUAGUAGCUGAUUGGAUAGAUAAAGUAAGAAAUAAGAAAAAUGGCCGGCUAAUCCAUCUUGAGCUGUAUCAUUUUAUCUCAUAGCAAGGCAUUUUUGCCCUUUACUUACUGACUAAUUGCUUGUCCUUUUUUUUUCCCAGGCAUUCUCAAGAUUUCUAGUAUUUCAGCAGUCACUUUUAGAUUUUUGUUUUAUUAUUUCGGCUCAUUUUAUAUUUAAUAAGGCUUAACAAAAUACGAUUUAUAAGGCAGGCUUAUAAUUUUGGAGAAAUUCCAUUUGAAAAUAAUGGAAUUUAAUCUAUUUAGAUGUUGGUUAGCAUUUAUGAUGCUGAAUUCUCCAUGUAGUGUGUAUCCACCAAAAUAAAAACAAAUCUUGGAUGGUAUUUUUUGCAAUGUAAUAUUUCAAAGAGGGGAACCAGAAUGUGUCACCUCAAAAUAUACUUUUUUGGUGUAUGGAUUCUUUUGAGCUAAAGACCAUUAAGAACCAUCAGACCUUGGAGUUCCCGUUGUGGCUCAGUGGUUGGUGAAUCUGACUAGGAACCAUGAGGUUGCGGGUUCCAUCCCUGGCCUUGCUCAGUGGGUUAAGGAUCCGGCGUUGCUGUGAGCUGUGGUGUAGGUCCCAGAUGCAGCUCGGAUCCCGCGUUGCUGUGGCUCUGGUGUACGCCAGUAGCUGCGGCUCCGAUUUGACCCCUAGCCUGGGAACCUCCAUAUGCCGCAGGAGCAGCCCAAGAAAUGGCAAAAAGACAAAAACAAAAAAAAACAAAAAAAACAAAAAAACAAAAAAAAACGGCAGACCAGAAUAUUCUCUAAAUAUAGGGAACAAGUUUUUUUUGUUUGUUUGUUUAUAGGUAAUUUACAUUAAUAAAGAAAAUUUCUGGAGCUCCCCAGUGGCUUAGUGGGUUAAGUAUCUGGUUUUUGUUUUUGUUUUUGCUUUUUUUUAUUUCAUAUAUAGGUGAUAUCGUACAAUGUUUGUCUUUCACUGUCUGACUAGCUUCACUUAGUAUGAUAGACUUAUCUCUUUACCUUUAAACUCUGUAUCUUUUCUUGUCCUUGAUCCUUUAGUAAUAUCCUGUAUGGGGUUUUUUGGUUGAUGUUGUUUUUGUUUAUUUGUCUUUUUAGGGCCUCGUCUGAGGCACAUGGAAGUUUCCAGGCUAGGGGUUGAAUCAGAGCUGCAGCUGCCAGCCUGUACCAUAGCCACAUCAGUGCAGGAUCUGUGACAUACCCCAUAGCUCAUGGCAACUCAAGAUCCUUAACCCACUGAGUGAGGCCAGGAAUCAAACCGUGCAUCCUCAUGGAUGCUGGUCUGGUUCGUUACCACUGAGCCACGACGGAAACUCCCAUAGUGUUUUUUUAAAUUCUGAAUGGAUACAGAUUUAUUUGUGAUAGAAAAAUAAACUGCUUAUGAAACACUGAACACAGUCUGUCAACUUUUCUCCUUUCUUUAUUCCUUAUUUCUCUUUGCCAGAUUAUGGUACACCAAAACUGAUAGCUGGGAUUACAAACUUAAGCUAGAGAAGGGACAGCUUGGGAUAUAGACUGUUCAGAUGUUUACAGUGAAAUCGUAAGAAACCUGGAAGGACUUAGAAUUUUCCACCAUGACCCUCAUAUGCCCUUUUCUCCAACACCUGCUUCUCUCCAUCUCUAAUUACACGUGAUCUUCCUAAAUCUUCCUCCUCACACCACUCAUUAGAAGCCAAAAUGCUGGCUGCAAAAAAAAAAAAAAAAAAAAAA
rnacentral:lncRNA from 1 species